rnacentral:tRNA from 1 species
GCGCCCGUGGCCCAGGGGAUAGGGCGUCGGCCUCCGGAGCCGGACAUCGUAGGUUCGAAUCCUACCGGGCGCGCCA